CUUUGUUUUCAUUUUCACCACCUUCUUUGCACCUUCUUGCCCACUCAUACUUUUCCAUUCUUGCGUCACUACUUUUCAUCUUCUCACAUGCAACAACUUCCUCUAGUUCCACCUUCUCUGCUUUCUCCUCUGUUUCCUCUUCUUCAACAUCUUCUAUUACUUCACCAACCAUUUCAUUUUCAUAUAAUUCUUCUUCUUUAUUAUGUGGUUUUUCAUUUUCAUCUAUGACAUCAUCAUCAUCAACAUCAACAUCCUCUUCUUGUUCCGGGUCAAAACUUGUAGUCUCAUUUGUCAAAAAACAGAGACGAAGACGGCCAUGGCUUCUAUCAGCUUGAAAACAUGAUGUACUUGGUGGGACCUUUGUGACUUCAAUUACUAACCUACCAUCUUCACGGUGGGGUCUAACACGAAGAGAUUCUGAUCCUCUCAUCGUUGUCAAAGGUGGUGGAAAAUUAUGGAUUUUUGGUUUCUUAGUAGCUAUUAAUACUGGACUACAAGGUUCUCUUUGCUCCUCCAUUGCUCCCAUUGAAGACAACAACAUGUCAUUUUCUACAAUGUCAGUGCCACUUUCAUUACCAAGAUUCUCCGUACAUAAUUCAAGGCUCUUUGGACUCAUAGCCAAAGAGGAACGUUUCUGUUGAGGAUGCACAUAGGUGGUUGUUGUGGUUUCUUUUUUCCAUGUGUUUUGAUAUAUAUUAUUUGAAAGACCAUCAAGGAAAUUCCAACCACCAUUGUUUUUGUUGGGCUUGUUUUGAAAAGUUUCUGUUUUGUUGAUUUUUUCUUCUUGGUGGUGGGUUUUGAUGUUUGAAUCAAAGAAACAAGUUUUGAAGGCUAAAUCAAUGGAUUGAGGAGUAGGGACUUGUUUUGGAGAAGGUAACCUUAACCUUAGUGUUCUUGACUCAACAAGAGGAGACUCAAGAUGUGUUUGCAAUCCAGGAUGGUAUACGACUGCAGACAUGAUUGAUGUUUGUGUCUUAAAUACUAGGAUGUUUCAAAUUUCAAAUUAAGGUGAUAAAGCUGAGUGUGAAGUUUGUUAUGAGUUUGUUUUUUCGGAUUGGAAGCAAGUGGUUUUAGUUUUAGGUAUGAAGAGAGGAAUAUAAUUGAAAGAAAGAAUGGGAAUGGUGUGUGGAAGAAGUGAAAGGGGUGGGGGUGAAUUUGUAGUCCUAAAAAGUGUUUUGGGAAAAAGGGGUCCUUUUUGCUCCACUUGAAUUUGUACAAUUUCUUAAUCCACACCACACAACACAAAAGAGAAUAAAUGAUAAAAUUUUCAAAAUAAGGAAAACGAGGAAGCAAGGAGUAAUGGUGUCAAGUGUUGUUGCUUUUAUGUUUGGUGCGUGACCUAAUGUCAAAGGACAAUAAUUUUGUACAAAUUUUGCUUCCUAACAAUAUCAAGUGUACACAAAAUUGUUGUUGUAGGUAUGUCCUUAUGUGGAAUAAAUGAUCAAUAAUAGGAGAGAGAUGUGUUUUUUCAUCGAAUAACGUACUUGUU
rnacentral:lncRNA from 1 species